rnacentral:snRNA from 1 species
GGAUGUGUGGGCAAUCUGGCUAUGACAGCUGUCCCUCCACUGAUUGCCAGGGUUGAUGUGGCUCAUCUGGCUGGCCAGGCAGGUGUCCCCUCCCUCUCCCACCACUCUAUGUGCAUCCCCUCCCAAAGCUGACUGCUUGGUUGAAGAGGACGACUUACCCCAGUAUCCAAGCCAGCUUAGUCAGUCAACAGGGUCU